UUUUCCAUUCGUGUUUUUGCGAACCGUGGUUUCUGUGGUGAAGAAGAGUUGCGAUGUCGGGCCGAGGGAAACAAGGCGGUAAAGUGAGGGCUAAGGCAAAGUCUCGUUCAUCUCGGGCUGGCUUGCAGUUUCCGGUUGGCCGUGUUCACCGGCUUCUUCGGAAGGGUAAUUAUGCUGAGCGAGUUGGAGCUGGAGCCCCUGUAUAUAUGGCUGCUGUCUUAGAAUAUCUGACCGCUGAGAUUCUCGAGUUGGCUGGUAACGCUGCUCGGGAUAACAAAAAAACCAGGAUCAUCCCCCGCCAUCUGCAGCUCGCCAUCCGUAACGACGAGGAGCUCAACAAGCUACUGGGGAAAGUCACUAUCGCUCAAGGGGGUGUCCUGCCCAACAUCCAAGCAGUGCUGCUGCCUAAGAAAACCGAAAGUCAUAAAGCCAAGAGCAAGUAAAAGUGACUUGGAGGAAACGGUAUAACCGAAUUUGUGCUUAAAAUAAUUUUAAAAAAUAACCCAAAGGCUCUUUUCAGAGCCACCCACAGGAUCAGAAAAGAGCUAAAUUAUUUUGUCUUACGGAUUUAAUAAACCUUGAUGUGAAAUACAAACUUCCUGCUGUCAUGCAACAACUGUCUCUCCAGGUUGAGGAGCCAGACCCAGAGAACAUACUAGGUGCAUGAAAGAAAUGGCGAGUGUUAGUGCUUGAGGGAGGCGCGGGGAGAUGAGAGGAGGAGUGAAGAAGGAAAUCUCUGCAUGCUGGCUCAAGGCUCAAGUUACUGUAAUUAAUAAUAACAGUUAAUUAGUAAUUAAUAAUAAAAAGGAUAGUUCCAAAGUUAGCUCUUGACUGAACACUUACCAAGUGAAACAGGAGUGUGUAUUUUGUAAUCCCUGGGUAUUCGCAACAAUGAAACUUGGACCAUUAUUCACAAUUCCUUCCCUGGCUCAACAGAGAAACUUUCAAUCUAAACAUCUGUACGGACAUAGAUAAUAUUUCACUGUUAGGUACAUAUCAGGUGGGUCACCUUAGAUUCAUAUAAUGUACAGAAGUAUGAUAGUGCAUAACCAUAUUAACAACAUUUCACACAUAUACAGUACUUUUUAUGUGGUUGCAAACUUUUACUACUUUAUUUUGGCAAAAUGGCUGUGAGAUCAGUAGACAAACAGGACCAUCCCAUUUAAGAGGGGAAACUGAAAUAAGAGAAGGGAGUUUUUUAGUCAAGGCCAAAGGAGAAGGAAUCACUUACAGAUCAGGAAUAGAACUAGUGAGACUAUUUUUUUCUGUCUCUUCCAAAACAGAAUUUAAUUUGGUGCCAUAAGAAUCUUUAUGUUUCAUACUUUGUGCAAUUUUAUCAGGACAUUUGGUCAACAUAUUGUUUAGUAGAAAAAAUGGCAUCUUUCCCAUAGAACAUCUUCCCUCAUGUUCACUAACUAAUCUUUUAACAACUGAAAAGUUUCUUCUUUUUCUUAUGAUUAAUACAUGAUCAUAGUUGCAUACUGUUAGGCACUAUAAGGCUGUUUAAAAUAUUAAGGCCAUAGACAAUAAAACUGAUGAAGAAAAUAUGUUCUUAAAUAUUUUAUAAAAGUUUAUGGAUUAAUAUUCUCAACUUUAACUUAAUCUCAAAAUAAAUUAAUAUUAGGAAAAAAAUAAAGUGUUGCACAAAAUAAUUACAUCGUCAAAGAUGUAAACAUGUUAAUUUAAUUGAACAGAUUCCAGAAACCACAAAGUAAGUCUCCCAGGCUCAUUUAUAUUAUUUCAUUGAGCAUAUAAAUUAACAUAUUUUCUUUAAAUUUCUGAUCACAGAAGAGCAAUAAAAAAUGUGACUGAUUCAUUGGUCAAUAUAGGAGCAAACUAGCUUUGACUUGUAAAACAUAUACAUAUUUUCUUUAUGUAUACAGUCUAAUUGGGGCAACAAUAGAGAAUGAACUUAAGCAUUUAUUUGUUUUAUUGUACUGUAUAAUGUCAUAGACUGAAAAUUAUGUCUCUUCACUUGUUAUUAUGUGGUAAUACUGUAACAUAAAUGAAUUCCCAAUUAGAACAAAAUGGGCACAGUAUAUAUCACUCAGCAAAUUCCACAAAAACAAGAGGGGUUCCUCAGGGGCUCAUUGAAAGAGGCCUCUUUACACUGAUUGAAAGAAAAAAAUCCCAAAAGAUUUGGAUGAGAAAAAAAUUAAUUUGGCUUAGUUGUGUGAAGUCUUUAAGUCUGUUAGUCUUUAAGGUGCCACAGGACUCCUCGUUGUUUUUGUGGAAACAUCCUGACAAUGUAAAUAGUUAAUAGUACAUAAUUAAUAUAAUUUGUUGAACUAUUUCAUUUUUUUCUGGUUGGGAUUUGUUGUUGUGUCCUCAUUUUCAGCCUCUUUGGGAGGAUGGACAAAGCUUAGGAGGGAUGAGAUAUUGUAUGUUUUGUUUAACCUUGUUAUGGAUGUGAGUUACUACCCUUCUUUUAAGAUAGUGGUGAGAGCUAGUUAAGCAGCUCACCACCACCACCCAAUCACCCAGUCCACCCAGGAUUGUUAAUCAUGAUGGCAGAGGACUUUAUCUGAGCAUUGUUUGGGUAACUGUGUAUGUGUAUUUGGAGGAAGAGGGGGGAUGAGAUGCAUCAGGACACAGAGUCAGAAAGGCAAUUAGUGUUGCUGUUAGACAGAAAUGUUCGUAAUGUGGUCCUGCAACAAAGCUAAGACAGAAAGCUGUUUAAGCAGAGUGCUGGCUGAAAAGUCAGGUUUGGAAAAGUCACCAAACUCUCUCUUGCUAUUUGAUUGCUCCUGUGAUUGGGGAAACAGGACUGUAUGUAUGAUUUUGUAAAUAAAGAAGAUUGCAUCAAA